AUGCUGACUGCCAGCCUGUUGAGGGCAGUCAUAGCCUCCAUCUGUGUUGUAUCCAGCAUGGCUCAGAAGGUAACUCAAGCGCAGACUGAAAUUUCUGUGGUGGAGAAGGAGGAUGUGACCUUGGACUGUGUGUAUGAAACCCGUGAUACUACUUAUUACUUAUUCUGGUACAAGCAACCACCAAGUGGAGAAUUGGUUUUCCUUAUUCGUCGGAACUCUUUUGAUGAGCAAAAUGAAAUAAGUGGUCGGUAUUCUUGGAACUUCCAGAAAUCCACCAGUUCCUUCAACUUCACCAUCACAGCCUCACAAGUCGUGGACUCAGCAGUAUACUUCUGUGCUCUGAGUGAGGC